rnacentral:rRNA from 1 species
GAAACUCAAAGGAAUUGACGGGGACCCGCACAAGCGGUGGAUGAUGUGGUUUAAUUCGAUGCAACGCGAAAAACCUUACCCACCUUUGACAUGUACGGAAGGAUCCAGAGAUGGAUUUGUGCUCGAAAGAGAACCGUAACACAGGUGCUGCAUGGCUGUCGUCAGCUCGUGUCGUGAGAUGUUGGGUUAAGUCCCGCAACGAGCGCAACCCUUGUCAUUAGUUGCUACAUUUAGUUGGGCACUCUAAUGAGACUGCCGGUGACAAACCGGAGGAAGGUGGGGAUGACGUCAAGUCCUCAUGGCCCUUAUAGGUGGGGCUACACACGUCAUACAAUGGCUGGUACAAAGGGUUGCCAACCCGCGAGGGGGAGCUAAUCCCAUAAAACCAGUCGUAGUCCGGAUCGCAGUCUGCAACUCGACUGCGUGAAGUCGGAAUCGCUAGUAAUCGUGGAUCAGAAUGUCACGGUGAAUACGUUCCCGGGUCUUGUACACACCGCCCGUCACACCAUGGGAGCGGGUUCUGCCAGAAGUAGUUAGCCUAACCGCAAGGAGG